CUAGGAUUAGAUACCCUAUUAUUUAAAAUGUAAAAACUAAAGUAUUAAUAGAUAUGAACUUUAAACUUAAAAAAUUUGGCGGUAUUUUAGUCUAUUCAGAGGAACCUGUUUUGUAAUCGAUAUUCCACGUUGAACCUUACUUUAAUUUAUAUAUUAGUUUAUAUACCGUCGUUAUAAAAAAAUUUUAUAAGAAUAAUAAUUUUUUAAAUUAUAUAUCAGAUCAAGGUGUAGCUUAUAUUAAAGAAAAUAAUGGGUUACAAUAAAUUUAUUUAUAUGAAUAUAAAAAUGAAAAAUUUAUUGAAAGAGGAUUUGAAAGUAAAAUUAUAAAGAUUAAUAAUUUGAUUUUAGCUCUAAAAUAUGUACAUAUCGCCCGUCACUCUUAUUAUUAAAAUAAGAUAAG
rnacentral:rRNA from 1 species